rnacentral:other from 1 species
GAGAGUCGAACUAUUUCGAAGAUUUAUGAUAUUAAUCCGAACACUUUUAAUAAGGAAGUUGGGUAUACUUAAUUCUGUGUUGAAAGCUUACUUUAAGUAAGAAUCCUAAAGAAUUGGUCUAAACUUCCACCUAUACAUAUUGCGGGUUAAUUUGGAAAGUCUACGUUUAGUUGGACCUUUU